GCAUGCCAUAGCUCAGUCUGGCAGAGCCUUGGGUCGUUGGUUCGAAUCCAACUGGCAGCC
rnacentral:tRNA from 1 species